rnacentral:lncRNA from 1 species
AGAGGGCAAAGAGGUGUGAUGAUACACCUCCAAUCACCCAGAAUUGUUCGUUUCUCCACCAGUCAUCAAUUCCUACACCACCCCACUGCAUCUCGAGAAUACCUGUUGCAGCAAUUGAUAUGAAGAGACCCAUGAAUACUAGACUGGCGUAGUUGCUAAUCUGCAAAAGAGAGUCAGUAUUCCAUGUUAGACAAGGCCAUAUAAUAGGUACAAGAUAAAAAACCAACAAACUAUAACUUAGGGAACAAGGCAAUCCAACAAAAUAGGUUGGUUGACCAAUCAAUUACAGAUAUAAAGCUUCAAUUAUGAUGCCAGCAUAGGUAGAUGGAACAGUUAUCAGUUAUCACUGCUUUAAUAUCAGGAUAGCUUACCUCAGGAACAAUAAACUUCCCGGUAAGGAGACAUAUAGCUGG